rnacentral:rRNA from 1 species
GUAGGUGGCAAGCGUUGUCCGGGAAUUAUUGGGGCGUAAAGCGCGCGCAGGCGGUUCUUUAAGUCUGAUGUGAAAGCCCACGGGCUCAACCGUGGGAGGGUCAUUGGAAACUGGAGAACUUGAGUACAGAAGAGGAAAGCGGAAUUCCACGUGUAGCGGUGAAAUGCGUAGAGAUGUGGAGGAACACCAGUGGCGAAGGCGGCUUUCUGGUCUGUAACUGACGCUGAGGCGCGAAAGCGUGGGGAGCAAACAGGAUUAGAUACCCUGGUAGUCCACGCCGUAAACGAUGAGUGCUAAGUGUUAGAGGGUCUCCGCCCCUUAGUGCUGCAGCUAACGCAUUAAGCACUCCGCCUGGGGAGUACGGCCGCAAAGGCUG